rnacentral:rRNA from 1 species
UUCGGGUUGUAAACCUCUUUCAGUAGGGAAGAAGCGAAAGUGACGGUACCUGCAGAAGAAGCACCGGCUAACUACGUGCCCAGCAGCCGCGGUAAUACGUAGGGUGCGAGCGUUAUCCGGAAUUAUUGGGCGUAAAGAGCUCGUAGGCGGUUUGUCGCGUCUGUCGUGAAAGUCCGGGGCUUAACCCCGGAUCUGCGGUGGGUACGGGCAGACUAGAGUGCAGUAGGGGAGACUGGAAUUCCUGGUGUAGCGGUGGAAUGCGCAGAUAUCAGGAGGAACACCGAUGGCGAAGGCAGGUCUCUGGGCUGUAACUGACGCUGAGGAGCGAAAGCAUGGGGAGCGAACAGGAUUAGACACCCUGGUAGUCCAUGCCGUAAACGUUGGGCACUAGGUGUGGGGACCAUUCCACGGAU